GAGGGUAUAGCUCAGUGGUAGAGUGCAUGCUAAGCAUGCACUAGGUCCUAGGUUCAAUCCCCAGUACCUCCA
rnacentral:tRNA from 1 species